ensembl:lncRNA
CUGACCAUGGAGUCAGGAAAACGUCUGGAUACUGAUAAGGUCUUUAACCUGCUGCCAUUACCGGCUGUUUCAGGUUAUCCUCAUAAUGCUGUGGAUACACCAGAGUGCCUGGAAGUUAGACCUUGUCGGGAUGUGUCACUAGACCAGGUUUAUGACAGCUUGAGGGUUUGCCAACAAACAUGAAUUAGAAGGAUCUGCUCAACCCCUCCCUAGCACCGCCCAUGAAUAUAGUAAAAGAGGAUUUACAUUUCUUCCAUUUGCAUGUAUAAAUGUGGUAUUUACAGACCAAAUUUACCAUGUCCACUGUCAGAAAAAAAGGAAAUUCAAUAUAUUAUCAAAAACAGGGUAUUUUCUAAAACUAAGGGAUAAAUAUUAGCCUACUAUUUUUCACUGAAAGCUUAUAAAUGAUAAAUCACAGGACAGUGGUGAAUUUUUUCCUGCACUCCUGAAUGUUUCUAUGUGCACGUGAUCUGUCCGUUAUGUGUGAGCAGUGAGCUUGUGUGUUGUGUGUGUGCAUGCAUGCAGUGUAGCAGCACAUUAGUUUAGAGCAGAGAUUAGCUACCUGUACAAUAAACUGUUUAAAAUGUGAAUUCA